rnacentral:rRNA from 1 species
GACGAACGCGGCGGCGUGCCUAAUACAUGCAAGUAGAACGCUGAAGGAGGAGCUUGCUUUUCUGGAUGAGUUGCGAACGGGUGAGUAACGCGUAGGUAACCUGCCUGGUAGCGGGGGAUAACUAUUGGAAACGAUAGCUAAUACCGCAUAACAGUAGAUAUUGCAUGAUAUCUGCUUGAAAGGUGCAAUUGCAUCACUACCAGAUGGACCUGCGUUGUAUUAGCUAGUUGGUGGGGUAACGGCUCACCAAGGCGACGAUACAUAGCCGACCUGAGAGGGUGAUCGGCCACACUGGGACUGAGACACGGCCCAGACUCCUACGGGAGGCAGCAGUAGGGAAUCUUCGGCAAUGGACGGAAGUCUGACCGAGCAACGCCGCGUGAGUGAAGAAGGUUUUCGGAUCGUAAAGCUCUGUUGUAAGAGAAGAACGAGUGUGAGAGUGGAAAGUUCACACUGUGACG